CUGCAUAGUGAACACCCUAGGGUGCUCCUGUAGGUACCUCUGGUCAAAAUGUCUGUGCCACAGAAACUCCGGUCUGUACCUCUGCAUUAUGAGGGCUCCAUCUCUCCUACAUGUAUUCAGUGGACCAGGACUAAA
rnacentral:snoRNA from 1 species